CACAUGUUUGCCUCUCCCGAAGUGCAAUAACACCCUUCUGACUGGGGCAGUGCGAAGCCAGCGCCGACCUUGCAAACUCGGGGCUUCCCGGGCAGAGGAGCCGCCCACCCGCCCGAUGGAUGGAUGCACGUGGCCAGGCAGACGCUUUCUGCUGACUUCCUUGACAUGCGUUCAGUUAGAAAACGGCACGGAGAAGGACACAGACGUGACUCAUAAUCCCACCUUCCAAAGUUGACCACGAUUUCUCUGCUGGUUGCUGGUGUGUAUCUGCCUUCUCAUCUUUAAAAAUUUUACAAUCUCGUCUAUUUUUUAUGCGUAUACAACACACACACAUAAGCACACACAUUGACACUGUUGGGAUUACAUAGCUCACGUUGUGGUGUCACGACAACUUCUCACUUUCAGUGAACAAUUUAUUAUAGAUCCCCCUUGUCACUAAGUGUUCUCUUAACCAUAGCCUUAAUAGCUGCAUACCAUUUCAUUGAAUGGAUACCUUAUUUUGGUUCAGUUGCAAAUAUUUUCUCAUUCUGU
rnacentral:lncRNA from 1 species